rnacentral:rRNA from 1 species
AGUGAACGCUGGCGGUAGGCCUAACACAUGCAAGUCGAACGGCAGCACAGUAAGAGCUUGCUCUUACGGGUGGCGAGUGGCGGACGGGUGAGGAAUACAUCGGAAUCUACUUUUUCGUGGGGGAUAACGUAGGGAAACUUACGCUAAUACCGCAUACGACCUACGGGUGAAAGCAGGGGAUCUUCGGACCUUGCGCGAUUGAAUGAGCCGAUGUCGGAUUAGAUAGUUGGUGGGGUAAAGGCCCACCAAGGCGACGAUCCGUAGCUGGUCUGAGAGGAUGAUCAGCCACACUGGAACUGAGACACGGUCCAGACUCCUACGGGAGGCAGCAGUGGGGAAUAUUGGACAAUGGGCGCAAGCCUGAUCCAGCCAUACCGCGUGGGUGAAGAAGGCCUUCGGGUUGUAAAGCCCUUUUGUUGGGAAAGAAAAGCAGCAGGUUAAUACCCCGCUGUUCUGACGGUACCCAAAGAAUAAGCACCGGCUAACUUCGUG